rnacentral:lncRNA from 10 species
CUACAGAGUGGGUCUAGGUCCAGGUACAGUCUCAGAACCACACUGCAAAACUGGCUUAGUCAGGUAGCUGCUGUAUCUGCUGCUUCCACUGUGAACUCAAAAACCACAUUGCCUGUGCUGCAGGCCGGAAAGCUGCUGAACCAGGAAGCUGUGCUGAUGCUGCUGACUGCCCCUGAGGUUAGAGAUUGACUAGACAUAGUGCCACUGUCAUCCCUGCUGGAGAAGGUCCGAAGCACCUCCACCUCUGUGCUUCCAGAGGGGCACUGUGGUGGCCACUUAAAAUGCUCAGGCUAUACCAUGCACUAGAGCAUCUACCUGGGCAAGGGAUAUGCUGUAUGACACUCUCCUGAUGCUGGGCAUGGCUGUGAGCCAAAGCACCCAGGCAGCCCUGCCAUCAGAAGGGUAAACCACGGACACCUGAUGCCUUCCUGAAGGAAGAGCACUACGCCUGCCAAACCAUCAAGCGUUGAUGCUCCAGCGCCUUCUACCCGUGGUUCUCCAGCCUCAGCAGAAGAGAGAGAAAUUGAUGACCCUGUCGUUGUAGCAUCCCCAUCACCCAGCAAUUAAUUUUAGUUCAAUGCUUCAAACGCUCUUCAGGCGCAGUGUGCGUUCAGCUGUGUCAGCUAAUGCAAAUGGGGGAUCUCAGAAGUCUUAAUGAAGUAACUAUCCCUGAACACUGGGAUCAAUACUCAGCAUCCAGCUGUCAAAUCAACACCAAGCCGCCUCCUGGAGCAGAUUGUUAAGCUGAUGCGAGUCUGGGCUCUGCCUCACCACUUGUCUCAGAGACAGAGUCUUGCUCUGUCACCUAGGCUGGAGUGCAGUGGUGCCAUCACAGCUCACUGCAGCCUCGACCUCCCCGUGCUCAAGUGAUCCUCACACCUCAGCCUCCCGAGUAGCCGCGAUCACAAGUUAAACAAACACAGUUCUUUACAUCAAUGCUUCCGUCCCUGGCCAUCUGGUCUCCUGUCCCCUCCAGACCCAAAACCAUGGGCUGGGCUGCAGCAAAAUGAGGGUGUACUCAGUGCACUGAGGCCCAUGUACCAUGAGAGAUGGUGA